rnacentral:rRNA from 1 species
ACAAGCAGCGGAGCAUGUGGUUUAAUUCGACGCAACGCGAAGAACCUUACCAGGUCUUGACAUCGAGGCAAAGCCGUAGAGAUACGGUGUGUCUUUCGGGACAGUUGAAGACAGGUGGUGCAUGGUUGUCGUCAGCUCGUGUCGUGAGAUGUUGGGUUAAGUCCCGCAACGAGCGCAACCCUUAUGAUCAGUUACUAACGCGUAAAGGCGAGGACUCUGAUGAGACCGCCGGGGACAACUCGGAGGAAGGUGGGGACGACGUCAAAUCAUCAUGCCCCUUAUGACCUGGGCUACACACGUGCUACAAUGGUGGCAACAAAGAGGGGCGAAGCCGUAAGGCGGAGCGGAUCUCAAAAAAUCCAUCUCAGUUCGGAUUGUGGGCUGCAACCCGCCCACAUGAAGUUGGAGUUGCUAGUAAUCGCGGAUCAGAAUGCCGCGGUGAAUACGUUCCCGGGCCUUGUACACACCGCCCGUCACACCAUGGGAGUUGGGAGCACCCGAAGUCAGUGAGAUAACCGCAAGGGGUCAGCUGCCGAAAGGUGAGACCGAUGACUGGGGUG